rnacentral:rRNA from 1 species
GCCCUAGUAACGGCGAGUGAAGCGGCAACAGCUCAAAUUUGAAAUCUGGCGUCAGCCCGAGUUGUAAUUUGUAGAGGAUGCUUCUGGGUAGCGGCCGUUCUAAGUUCCUUGGAACAGGACGUCAUAGAGGGUGAGAAUCCCGUACGUGACCGGCGCGCACCCUCCACGUAGCUCCUUCGACGAGUCGAGUUGUUUGGGAAUGCAGCUCUAAAUGGGAGGUAAAUUUCUUCUAAAGCUAAAUACCGGCCAGAGACCGAUAGCGCACAAGUAGAGUGAUCGAAAGAUGAAAAGCACUUUGGAAAGAGAGUUAAAAAGCACGUGAAAUUGUUGAAAGGGAAGCGCUCACAACCAGACUUCGUAGCGGUGUUCCCCCGGUCUUCUGACCGGGUCAUUCGCCGUCGCGAGGCCAACAUCAUCUGGGGCCGCCGGAUAAGACCGUUAGAAUGUAGCUUCUCUCGGGAAGUGUUAUAGCUAGCGGUGAUGCGGCGUGUCCCGGGUGAGGUCCGCACUUCGGUAAGGAUGUUGGCGUAAUGGUUGUCAGCGGCCCGUCUUGAAACACGGACCAAGGAGUCUAACAUCUAUGCGAGUGUUCGGGUGUUAAACCCCUACGCGUAAUGAAAGUGAACGGAGGUGGGAACGCAAGUGCACCAUCGACCGAUCCUGAUGUCCUCGGAUGGAUUUGAGUAAGAGCAUAGCUGU